rnacentral:rRNA from 1 species
CCUACGUGAGGCAGCAGUGGGGGAUAUUGCACAAUGGGGGGAACCCUGAUGCAGCGACGCCGCGUGGGUGAAGGAGCGUUUCGGCGCGUAAAGCCCCAUCGGCAGGGGAGAAGAUGACGGUACCUGACCAAGAAGCCCCGGCUAACGACGUGCCAGCAGCCGCGGUAAUACGUAGGGGGCAAGCGUUAUCCGGCUUGACGGGGGGGAAAGGGGGAGUAGACGGGAAUGCAAGCCAAGAGUGAAAGCCCGGGGCCCAACCCCGGGACUGCUGUUGGAACUGCAUGGCUGGAGUACAGGAGGGGCAGGCGGAAUUCCUAGUGUAGCGGUGAAAUGCGUAGAUAUUAGGAGGAACACCGGUGGCGAAGGCGGCCUGCUGGACUGUGACUGACGUUGAGGCCCGAAGGCGUGGGGAGCAAACAGGAUUAGAUACCCUUGUAGUC